UCUCACUAUCAACGUACGGCACAGUUUUUCUCGAGUGACCGCAGUGAACAGAUAGUGAAACUGUAUUAUUUAAGCUAUUUUUAUCUCACUAUAUGAUAAAAAAACUUUUGUCGGCGGGAGUCUGCUCUGCGCUAAAAGACUUUUGUGAUGCUUAAAUAUUUUUUGUGCGUGUAAAUAAUAAAAAAAUAAAAUUAACGAUGAAGCCAAGACGUGUCCAGCAGUGGGUUGGCAGUAAUAAAUUGCUGAUCGUUUUCGGAUUGCUGGCGUUGUGCUUUUGCAUAUCUACGGUAGCACUCGCUACAAGGGGAAGUACUUGCAAACAGGACCAUGGGACAACUCUAAGUGAACUUUCCCGAGCGAAUAAUAAAGCUGUGAGCAUGAAUUACAGGCUUCCGAGACACGUAAUACCGAAAAAUUACAAAUUGAGACUGGAGCCAACGUUGACGGGCCGCAACAAAACAUUUACUGGAUCCGUCAAAAUUCAGCUGGAUAUACUACAACCCACGCAAAACGUGACUUUGCAUACUAAUAAACUCGGUAUUUCAUUCGUGGAUUUGAAAAGAGAUGAUGAUUCGAA